CUGUUGCUAUAAGAUGAUUUCAAAUUCAACCACUAGAAACAUGAGACAUAAUAAUAAUAGACUGUUGCUUAAAGCCACUAUGUCUGAAGUGGUUUAUUUCAUAGCAAUAGACAACCUCAACACAAAGAUUGUUUUCAACUGAAGCUCAUGAAAAUGGCGGUGAAGAUGAACUAUUUCAAAUUAGCUGUUUAAUUUGAAAUCGUCUUACACUUACCAAAAGUUUUAAAAUAUAACACAGAAAACUCAUAUGCCAUUCACCUAUCUUCUCCUAAUAUUAGCAUCUCAUAGAACCACAGUAAAAUUAAUGACAUCAAGAUAUGACCAUGGUUACAAUAAUACUAUUAACUAAUCUAGAGACUUUAUUUGAAUUUUGCCAAUUAUACCACUAAUACCAUUUUUUAAUCCAAGAAUCAAUCCAUAAUAAUCCUGUCUUGCCUUAAGCUUCAUAUUUUGUUAGUCUUCUUCAAUCUAUUACAAUUCCUCUGUUUUUGUUUGUCUUUUAUGACUUUGACAUUUUGAAGAGCAUGGACCAGUUGUUCUGUAGAAUGUCACUGAAUUUGAGUUUGUCUGAUUUUUUUCCAUGAUUAAAUUCAAGUUAUGCAUUUUGGCAAGAGUUCCACAAUAGUAAUAUUGUGACCUUCUCAGAGCAUCUUGUCAGGACAUACAGAAUACUGAUAUGUAUUAAUACAUUAUGUCUUAUUACAUAAUUUUAACUUUGAUUCCUUGGUUAUGGUGUAUCUGCUAGAUUUCUCCACUGUAAAGUUAUUAUUUUUUCUUUUGUGUUAGUAAGUAUCUUGAGAGGAGAUAGUUUAAUACUGUUUCUUCUCCUAUCUUAAUACUGAUUUUAGCAUUCAUUUGUGACUCUUACCUGUAGUAGUUACUAUUUUUGCCCUAAUGGUGAUUUUCUACUUUCAUCAUUCCUUCUACAUUUAGUAAUUAGACUUUGAUGCUAGGGGGACUUCUGCCAAGAUGACCGAAUAGCAACAGCUCCAGUCUGCAGUACCCAGCAAGAGUGUGCCAGAAGACUAGUGAUCUCCACAUUUCCAACUGAGGAUAUUCCAGGAUGGUCUUGUACUUUCCCUGCCUCAGACCUGAAAUCCACCAUUCCUUCAAGAACUCUGGUUCCUUUUACUGGAUGAUGAUAUUAAGAAAUGAAGACCUGGAUACUCUCAUUACUGCUGAAAUAGCCUUGCUCCCAGGCUGUCUCGGUGGACAGAGGUAGGAAAUAUGUGUAUGUAAACUAACCUAUGCAUGUAUACAUAUCUGUAUUUAUUUUUAUAUCCGUUCAUAUAUAUAUCAAACUGAUACACUUACUUCUGAUUCCGGUUCACUACCACAGGUUUUAUUCUAGCUUUCUUUCAUUCUUUAUGUGUAAUUCCUUUGUCUAACAGUAAGAAAAUUCAUUCUUCACAAUAUAUUUUCUUAUGAAAAUUGACUUUUAAUGGUUACCAAAGAGGCACUCUUUUUAUAUAGCCCAUUUUGUUCUUUUAACUUCAACUACUUUCCUUGGAGUUCAGACUUCAUAAAUGUAUGUUUGUCAAUGGCGACAAAUGGAGAUUACCAGCUCUAUAGAAUUAUACAGUUAAAUAGUGCACAGGGAUCGUGGUUGAAAAACAAACACAAACAUCUAAUUAGUGUUUUCAAGUAACUCCAUUUUACUAGGUUAAUUUCAUAUUGUUUCAAGAGAACUAGUCACUUGAUGAAUCUUGGUUAAUGCAGUGCUAACACCCUUUGAGUUGUGGGUGUCAAAUUGAGACUCAACAUAUCCAGUAAUAUAUGUCAGAUAUGCCCUAGAAACCGAAAACAAACAACAUUAAUAUUAUGCACUAUUUUAAUUUCGUAAAGGAUGUUGGAACACUCUUUCUUUGAAUAAUGACAUACAAAACUAGCUUGCCCUAUUCUAGUUGUAUAGUGACAAGAGUAAAUGACUAUCAAUUAGACAUUUGCUUUUCAUUUAUAUUAAGCUUAAAAUGUUAGCUGUAUCAUUUGAAUAAUGUAUGUACCUAUUAUAUAGUCUUAUUUUUCUAUCUACUUAGUUUAGAAAUGAUAAUUUUAGCUUUAAAGCAUGUUUUGAUUUGUAAAUUUGUUACUCAAUCUUUUUUCCUUUUAAAUAGAUUUCUUAACAUCCAUAACUUUAGAAGUGAAGUUCUAUUCAUGAAAGUCCUCAUCAGUGAGGUGGAUAUCUCAUAUGAUUUUUAAAAAAUAUAGAAACAACAAUUGCCAUGGCAAAUGUGAGUUAUAGACACAAUAUUCACAAGAAGAUUGUUUUAGAAAACAUCUACACACAUAUAAAAGGUAAAUACUGAGCAAACUGUACCAGAUUUUUGCUAUGGAAGUAUGCACAAGAGAGCUUGAGACUUAAAUUAGGGUAAAAAAUUUAAAUUUAAUUCUAAGCAGCAAUUUUCUUAUAGUGAAGGCUGUUAAAUCCUGAGAUAUGCUCUUGAAGAUGAGAUUUUAAAAGGUUUUUCUCUCAAGGUCUUAUAAACUAAUGAAUUUAUAAACUAACAAAUAUAAUAUUUCAGGAUGGGUUAGGUGUGAUCUCACCUUGAUGUAGAGACAGAGACUUAAUGAGCUCCCAAAGGCUGCAUCCUAGCCUUAAGUUUUUUGUUUGUUUGUUUAUUUCUUGUUUUUUCUUUUUCUUGCUCUGUCACCCAGGCUGGAGUGCAGUGAUGUGAACACUGCUCACUGCAGCCUCGACCUCCCAGGCUCAAGCAAUCCUCCCACCUCAGCCUCCUGAGAAGCUGGGGACAAGAUUCUAAGAAUCCCAUUUUCACUGAGAAUUUACAUUGGAAUGGGAUCAAGGAGUCUUGCUUGUCCUCCCUGUCCACAGAGAACUGACAUGUAUAGAAAUGAUAUGAGAGCUCAAGAACACACACCUACAUGUUGGUAGCUUUGGGACCAGAGCUCUUGCUGAUAUGGCAGUGUAGGGAAGAAAAAGCAAUUAUCUUUUCCUUUAUCAUUACAAAGUUUAUGGCCGAUACCCCUAUUACAAAAGACAGAUUAACAACAGAAAAGCAUAGGAAAUCUAUGUAACCAAAGCCUUAUGUGACGUAGGAGCCUUCAAAAAUGAAGAGCCAAAGACCCAGGGAAAACUGUAUUUUGCUUCUUAGGUUCACUUAAGAAUAGCCA